rnacentral:rRNA from 1 species
UGCUUAGCGGCGGACGGGUGAGUAACACGUAGGCAACCUGCCUGCAAGGCCGGGAUAACAUUCGGAAACGAAUGCUAAUACCGGAUACGCGGUUUUGUCGCAUGACGAGACCGGGAAAGACGGCGCAAGCUGUCACUUGCAGAUGGGCCUGCGGCGCAUUAGCUGGUUGGCGGGGUAACGGCCCACCAAGGCGACGAUGCGUAGCCGACCUGAGAGGGUGAUCGGCCACACUGGGACUGAGACACGGCCCAGACUCCUACGGGAGGCAGCAGUAGGGAAUCUUCCGCAAUGGACGAAAGUCUGACGGAGCAACGCCGCGUGAGUGAGGAAGGCCUUCGGGUCGUAAAGCUCUGUUGCCAGGGAAGAACGUCGGGGGGAGUAACUGCCCUUCGAAUGACGGUACCUGAGAAGAAAGCCCCGGCUAACUACGUGCCAGCAGCCGCGGUAAUACGUAGGGGGCAAGCGUUGUCCGGAAUUAUUGGGCGUAAAGCGCGCGCAGGCGGCCUUGUAAGUCUGGUGUUUAACCCAUGGGCUCAACCCAUGGUCGCACCGGAAACUGCAAAGCUUGAGUGCAGAAGAGGAAAGUGGAAUUCCACGUGUAGCGGUGAAAUGCGUAGAGAUGUGGAGGAACACCAGUGGCGAAGGCGACUUUCUGGGCUGUAACUGACGCUGAGGCGCGAAAGCGUGGGGAGCAAACAGGAUUAGAUACCCUGGUAGUCCACGCCGUAAACGAUGAGUGCUAGGUGUCA